rnacentral:rRNA from 1 species
UACAGAGGCGGCAAGCGUUGUUCGGAAUUAUUGGGCGUAAAGAGCACGUAGGCGGCUGUGUAAGUCGGUUGUGAAAGCCUUCCGCUCAACGGAAGAACGGCAUCCGAUACUGCAUGGCUUGAGUGUGGGAGGGGAGAGUGGAACUUCUGGUGGAGCGGUGAAAUGCGUAGAUAUCCAGUGGAACACCGGUGGCGAAGGCGGCCUUCUGGACAGUGACUGACGCUGAAAUGCGAAAGCGUGGGGAGCAAAC